UAAGACGGGGGGGGCAAGCGUUGUUCGGAAUUACUGGGCGUAAAGGGCGCGCAGGCGGCCUGGGAAGUUUUGGGUGAAAGCCCCCGGCUCAACCGGGGAAUGGCCUGAGAAACCACCAGGCUGGAGUGCUGGAGAGGGAAGCGGAAUUCCCGGUGGAGCGGUGAAGUGCGUAGAUAUCGGGAGGAACACCGGAGGCGAAGGCGGCUUCCUGGACAGACACUGACGCUGAGGCGCGAAAGCUAGGGGAGCAAACGGGAUUAGAUACCCCGGUAGUCCUAGCUGUAAACGAUGGGUACUAGGUGUGGGAGGUUGAAUUAAGUCCUUCCGUGUCGGAGAUAACUCAAUAAGUACCCCGCCUGGGGAGUACGGUCGCAAGGCUG
rnacentral:rRNA from 1 species